rnacentral:rRNA from 1 species
AAAUUGAAGAGUUUGAUCAUGGCUCAGAUUGAACGCUGGCGGCAGGCCUAACACAUGCAAGUCGAACGGUAACAGGAAGCAGCUUGCUGAUUUGCUGACGAGUGGCGGACGGGUGAGUAAUGUCUGGGAAACUGCCUGAUGGAGGGGGAUAACUACUGGAAACGGUAGCUAAUACCGCAUAACGUCGCAAGACCAAAGAGGGGGACCUUCGGGCCUC